CCCUUAGAUGUUCUGGGCCGCACGCGCUACACUGAUGCAUUCAACGAGUGUACCUUGGCCGAGAGGCCUGGGCAAUCUUUUGAACGUGCAUCGUGAUAGGGAUAGAUUAUUGCAAUUAUUAAUCUUGAACGAGGAAUUCCUAGUAAACGCAGAUCAUCAAUCUGCAUUGAUUACGUCCCUGCCCUUUGUACACACCGCCCGUCGCACCUACCGAUUGGAUGGUCCGGUGAAGCCUCGGGAUUGUGGCGGUUGCCUUUAUUGGUGUCCGCCGCGAGAACUUGUCUAAACCUUAUCAUCUAGAGGAAGGUGAAGUCGUAACA
rnacentral:rRNA from 1 species